CCUCAAAUCAGGUAGGACUACCCGCUGAACUUAAGCAUAUCAAUAAGCGGAGGAAAAGAAACUAACAAGGAUUCCCCUAGUAACGGCGAGUGAAGCGGGAUGAGCUCAAAUUUAAAAUCUGGCGGCCUCAGGUCGUCCGAGUUGUAGUCUAGAGAAUCGUUUUCCGCGUUGGCCUGUGUACAAGUCCCUUGGAACAGGGCGUCAUAGAGGGUGAGAAUCCCGUCCUUGACACAGACUACCAAUGCUUUGUGAUGCGAUCUCGAAGAGUCGAGUUGUUUGGGAAUGCAGCUCAAAAUGGGUGGUAAAUUCCAUCUAAAGCUAAAUAUUGGCGAGAGACCGAUAGCGAACAAGUACCGUGAGGGAAAGAUGAAAAGCACUUUGGAAAGAGAGUUAAACAGUACGUGAAAUUGUUAAAAGGGAAACGAUUGAAGUCAGUCAUGCUUUCCGAGACUCAGCCGAUUCUGUCGGUGUACUUCUCGGUUGGCAGGCCAGCAUCAGUUUCGAUCUGUGGAAAAGGUUGGAGGGAACGUGGCAUCCUCGGAUGUGUUAUAGCCCUUCUCCGAAUACAUAGAGCGGGACUGAGGAACGCAGCGCGCCUUUUAUUAGGUUGGCCCUCGGGUACAUACGCGCUUAGGAUG
rnacentral:rRNA from 1 species